UACGUAGGGGGCUAGCGUUGUCCGGAUUUAUUGGGCGUAAAGAGCGUGUAGGCGGCCGGGUAAGUCCGGUGUGAAAACUCGAGGCUUAACCUCGAGAUGUCAUCGGAAACCAUCUGGCUAGAGUCCGGAAGAGGAGAGUGGAAUUCCUGGUGUAGCGGUGAAAUGCGCAGAUAUCAGGAAGAACACCAAUGGCGAAAGCAGCUCUCUGGGACGGUACUGACGCUGAGACGCGAAAGCGUGGGGAGCGAACAGG
rnacentral:rRNA from 1 species